rnacentral:rRNA from 1 species
AUGAACGCUAGCGACAGGCUUAACACAUGCAAGUCGAGGGGCAGCACAGGUAGCAAUACCGGGUGGCGACCGGCGCACGGGUGAGUAACGCGUAUGCAACUUGCCUAUCAGAGGGGGAUAACCCGGCGAAAGUCGGACUAAUACCGCAUGAAGCAGGGGCCCCGCAUGGGGAUAUUUGCUAAAGAUUCAUCGCUGAUAGAUAGGCAUGCGUUCCAUUAGGCAGUUGGCGGGGUAACGGCCCACCAAACCGACGAUGGAUAGGGGUUCUGAGAGGAAGGUCCCCCACAUUGGUACUGAGACACGGACCAAACUCCUACGGGAGGCAGCAGUGAGGAAUAUUGGUCAAUGGGCGCGAGCCUGAACCAGCCAAGUCGCGUGAGGGAUGAAGGUUCUAUGGAUCGUAAACCUCUUUUAUAAGGGAAUAAAGUGCGGGACGUGUCCCGUUUUGUAUGUACCUUAUGAAUAAGGAUCGGCUAACUCCGUGCCAGCAGCCGCGGUAAUACGGAGGAUCCGAGCGUUAUCCGGAUUUAUUGGGUUUAAAGGGUGCGUAGGCGGCCUUUUAAGUCAGCGGUGAAAGUCUGUGGCUCAACCAUAGAAUUGCCGUUGAAACUGGGAGGCUUGAGUAUGUUUGAGGCAGGCGGAAUGCGUGGUGUAGCGGUGAAAUGCUUAGAUAUCACGCAGAACCCCGAUUGCGAAGGCAGCCUGCCAAGCCAUGACUGACGCUGAUGCACGAAAGCGUGGGGAUCAAACAGGAUUAGAUACCCUGGUAGUCACACGGUAAACGAUGAAUACUCGCUGUUUGCGAUAUACUGCAAGCGGCCAAGCGAAAGCGUUAAGUAUUCCACCUGGGGAGUACGCCGGCAACGGUGAAACUCAAAGGAAUUGACGGGGGCCCGCACAAGCGGAGGAACAUGUGGUUUAAUUCGAUGAUACGCGAGGAACCUUACCCGGGUUUGAACGCAUUCGGACCGAGGUGGAAACACCUUUUCUAGCAAUAGCCGUUUGCGAGGUGCUGCAUGGUUGUCGUCAGCUCGUGCCGUGAGGUGUCGGCUUAAGUGCCAUAACGAGCGCAACCCUUGCCACUAGUUACUAACAGGUGAUGCUGAGGACUCUGGUGGGACUGCCAGCGUAAGCUGCGAGGAAGGCGGGGAUGACGUCAAAUCAGCACGGCCCUUACAUCCGGGGCGACACACGUGUUACAAUGGCGUGGACAAAGGGAAGCCACCUGGCGACAGGGAGCGAAUCCCCAAACCACGUCUCAGUUCGGAUCGGAGUCUGCAACCCGACUCCGUGAAGCUGGAUUCGCUAGUAAUCGCGCAUCAGCCAUGGCGCGGUGAAUACGUUCCCGGGCCUUGUACACACCGCCCGUCAAGCCAUGGGAGCCGGGGGUACCUGAAGUCCGUAACCGCGAGGAUCGGCCUAGGGUAAAACUGGUGACUGGGGCU